rnacentral:lncRNA from 1 species
AUUUUUCCGGCGGCAGCGUCAGGGGCGGAGUCAUUGGCGUCAGGAGCGGUGUCAGGGGCGGAGUCAACGGUAUCAGGGGCGGAGUCAGCGGCGUCAGGGGCGGAGCAGCGCCGGAAGGGGCAGUAGCAGUGGCGGCAGGAGCGGCGGCAGUCUCGGCAGCAGGGGCGGCGGCGGGCGAGUUGGUGACCCCGACGUGAUCGUCAGACGAUAGUACCGGGAGCAACUCCGAAGGAGAGGACGAGCUGGAGAGCCGAGCCAGCGGGACUGGAGUCGGAGCAGAUCAGAGGACGGUCCGUGAAAAAGAACGUACGUUGCAACGGGACACCCUUAGAGCGAUGAAGGCAGAGCGAUCAGCUGCUGCCGGAGCUUUUAUAGCUUUACAGCUCCCAUCGUCUGAGAUCAAAAUUUUCAAUUGGCUCCCUGUCCCUUCCCCCGCUGCCCUAUCGGCACCUCCGAUAGAGGACGAGGUGGAUUCCUGGAAAGACGAGGGGAUGGAAGUGGAUGAAUCCUGGCCUGUACCGCUGCCUCCCGACCCUUGCGUAGAAAAGCCACCCAGGGAGAGCCGCCACCCGUCCCACCCGACCCGUCUCGCCCCAAGAGGCAGCCAUCGCUUUUUCCACCUCUCCCUCUGUCCGUGCCUCCCCCGCCAACGUCUCCAUGAAAAUCAUCCACGCUCGAGCCCCACAGGGAACCGGACUGGGCACAGAAACUACUUCGAAAGUUGUAGGAUUUGGAAAGAGAUAAGAUCGCUCAAGAAGAACACGUGGGAGGAGGAGGGUGUGAUAGCACGCUUGGGAAGCUCCAGGGGGUGGGGGGAGGCAAGAGGCGAAGCUGCAGGAAGCUCCAGGGGGUGGGGGGAGGCGACAGGCGAAACUGCUAAAACUGACGGGGACCCAACACGGCGAUGGAGAGGGAUUAUUCAGAAUGCGUUAGUGGAAGGAGAAUUCCUUCCUGCGGCAUUCCUGGUAAUUUUGGGUGGAACGACACCGGGCGGGCUGCAGCGACCUAAUCAUUGGGAGGGCUUUCAUUGGGAAAUCAUGAAGGAGGCAUUACUAAUGUCGUUAGCUGUGCAAAAUGCUAAUGUUGCAUGCAAGCGCGUUCUAAUGGCUUUAUCAAAAAAUUCUAGUAUUGUGCAAAUGGUGGAGGCAUAACCUAAAAAAAAAAAACAAAAAAC